rnacentral:rRNA from 1 species
GGCGAACGCUGGCGGCGUGCUUAACACAUGCAAGUCGAACGGAAAGGCCUGCUUUCCCUUGUGGAUUGCGGGUACUCGAGUGGCGAACGGGUGAGUAACACGUGAGUGAUCUGCCCCCAACUUGGGUAUAAGCCUGGGAAACUGGGUCUAAUUCCCGAUAGGACUGCAGGGUGGUGCCUGUGGUGGAAAACGAUUUUCUAGUGGUUGGGGAUGAGCUCGCGGCCUAUCAGCUUGUUGGUGGGGUAAUGGCCUACCAAGGCGGCGACGGGUAGCCGGCCUGAGAGGGUGGACGGCCACAUUGGGACUGAGAUACGGCCCAGACUCCUACGGGAGGCAGCAGUGGGGAAUAGUGCACAAUGGGCGGAAGCCUGAUGCAGCGACGCCGCGUGGGGGAUGACGGCCUUCGGGUGGUAAACUCCUUUCGACCGCGAGGAAGCCACCUGGUUGGAAGGGUGGUGACGGUAGUGGUAGAAGAAGCACCGGCUAACUACGUG